rnacentral:pre_miRNA from 4 species
AGAGGCAGCAAGAAAAAUGAGGGACUUUCAGGGGCAGCUGUGUUUUACUAACCCAGUCAUAAUGCCCCUAAAAAUCCUUAUUGUUCUUGCAAUGUUCAA